rnacentral:rRNA from 1 species
AAAUUAUCCUCAUAAGUUAGACGAAAAGAGGUACCCUGCUAAGCAGAAAAGAAAUUAUUAAAAUAUUAAUAGUUUAUAGCAGCUUAACAGGGUGGCACAGAAUCGGAGGCCCCGACUGUUUACUAAAAACACAACACAGUGCAAUCAUUAAUAUGGUAGUAUACUGUGUGAAAUUUGCCCAAUGCCAUUAAUAUAAAAGCGGUCAUGGGAAACUGUGACUAAUUGAAAAUCUGGUUAAUAGCGGUCUUAACCAUGAGGAUCCUAAGGUAGCAAAAUAAAUUGGCCAUUAAAUGUGGUCCGGUAUCAAUAAUGUAACGAUGGCCUCACUGUCUCUACAACUUGCUCAGUGAAAUUGAAUUACGCGUGCAGAUGCGCGUUACCUCCAGGGGGACGGGAAGACCCUAUGCAGCUUCU